UACGUAGGGUGCAAGCGUUGUCCGGAAUUAUUGGGCGUAAAGAGCUCGUAGGCGGUCUGUCGCGUCGGAUGUGAAAAUCCAGGGCUCAACCCUGGACCUGCAUUCGAUACGGGCAGACUAGAGUUCGGCAGGGGAGACUGGAAUUCCUGGUGUAGCGGUGAAAUGCGCAGAUAUCAGGAGGAACACCGGUGGCGAAGGCGGUUCUCUGGGCCUUACCUGACGCUGAGGAGCGAAAGCGUGGGGAGCAAACAGG
rnacentral:rRNA from 1 species